rnacentral:rRNA from 1 species
UACGUAGGGGGCGAGCGUUGUCCGGAUUUAUUGGGCGUAAAGAGCUCGUAGGCGGCCUGUCGCGUCGGCUGUGAAAACCCGAGGCUCAACCUCGGGCCUGCAGUCGAUACGGGCAGGCUAGAGUUCGGUAGGGGAGACUGGAAUUCCUGGUGUAGCGGUGAAAUGCGCAGAUAUCAGGAGGAACACCGGUGGCGAAGGCGGGUCUCUGGGCCGAAACUGACGCUGAGGAGCGAAAGCGUGGGGAGCGAACAGG